rnacentral:rRNA from 1 species
ACUUUCAGCGGGGAGGAAGGCGAUAAGGUUAAUAACCUUGUCGAUUGACGUUACCCGCAGAAGAAGCACCGGCUAACUCCGUGCCAGCAGCCGCGGUAAUACGGAGGGUGCAAGCGUUAAUCGGAAUUACUGGGCGUAAAGCGCACGCAGGCGGUCUGUCAAGUCGGAUGUGAAAUCCCCGGGCUUAACCUGGGAACUGCAUUCGAAA